rnacentral:snoRNA from 1 species
AGGAACUAUCAAAGAAUUAGGCUCUUCGUAUUGGAAUUAGUUGACAGUUGCUCAUGAAAUGAAUGGAUUAAAAAAAUAAAGCUGCGCAAGC